rnacentral:rRNA from 1 species
UACGGAGGGGGCGAGCGUUGUCCGAAGUUACUGGGCGUAAAGCGCGCGUAGGCGGGUCGACAAGUCCGCUGUGAAAGCCCGGGGCUCAACCCCGGAGGGUCGGUGGAUACUGUCGGUCUUGAAGGUGCUAGGGGGAGAUGGAAUUACCGGUGUAGCGGUGAAAUGCGUAGAUAUCGGUAGGAACACCAGUGGCGAAGGCGGUCUCCUGGGGCACUCUUGACGCUGAGGCGCGAAAGCUGGGGGAGCGAACGG